rnacentral:miRNA from 1 species
UUUUCUUCUAAUCGGAAUGGGUG